CAACCGGAGGAAGGUGGGGAUGACGUCAAGUCAUCAUGGCCCUUACGGCCUGGGCUACACACGUGCUACAAUGGUCGGUACAAAGGGUUGCCAAGCCGCGAGGUGGAGCUAAUCCCAUAAAACCGAUCGUAGUCCGGAUCGCAGUCUGCAACUCGACUGCGUGAAGUCGGAAUCGCUAGUAAUCGUGAAUCAGAAUGUCACGGUGAAUACGUUCCCGGGCCUU
rnacentral:rRNA from 1 species